rnacentral:rRNA from 1 species
AUGUAUCUAAUACUAAAAUGUGACUUGAUACAUCCGUAUCUAGACAAAUCUAAGACAAGAAUUCUGAGACGGAGGGAGUACAAGUCAAACAAAAGGAAGGUUUCAGCGGGUUUUCUCCACAUACAAAAGGAGUUGCAGUUAAAAGCUCAUCCAUAUUCUGUAUACUCCUUGGUACUCCUAGUGAAGCUAUCAAAGUCGCAUCAAAUAUCGUCGGUAGCAGCCAAGUUGCGUGCACAUGUUGGUUGGUGCUGUGCUGGGUCGCUGUGGUUGGUGCGCAGGUGGAUGGAUGGGGUCGAUCGACAUCUUCCGGUACGCGUCGACCUCCUAGUGCGUGUCUAG